UAAGUGUAUUUGAUCCAUCAUUCUCUAUGUUUUGUUUAGAUGGUGUCAAACAAAACUGGGAUCAUAGGGACCAGAAUUCAAAUAAACAGAAGUAAUAAGGCUGGGGGAAAAAUUUCUGGACAGUAAACAUGUGUCCUGGACUGCUUCAAGAAUAUCUGUCUCUUGACAGUAGCAAAGUAUCUGCCUUUUGAUAAUGAAGAAAUCUAGGCAAGGACACAGGCAUAAAUGUAAGAGGCAAAUGACAAAGACAAAGAGUUCCAAUACAUCCACGCAAAGAAUUCGAAAAGAAUGUGUCGUUGAUGGCCAGCUAGAUACUACAGAUUCUGUUUGUCCUGGUAAAAUUUAAAAAGCUAUGAAUCCUUGGACAAGUCUCGGAUCUUAGCAAGAAUUUCAGCAGUCAGCCAAAAAGUGACUAUGAAAUAUUACUCUCUGAUCUGGGGAGUGAUCUGGGGAGCCAUUCUGAAGCACAAGAUAAGAAGGGACCAGACUUUUAAUUGAUCAAAUUUUAAAAGAAAUUAAUUCCAUGAAAAAAUAAUAAAAAAUAAAAUUUAAAAAAAUAAAAAAUAAAC
ensembl:lncRNA